UAUGAAAGAAAGUUUACUCUAACCACCGAAGCAUCAAAUGUGGCUCUUGGAGCUGUUUUAAGUCAACAAGGUUUGUUUUGCAAGGCGGACUCUUAAUGAAUGAAUGUUUGGUCAUCAAAAUAUUUUCGACCAUAUUUAUAUGAAGAUUCCGAAUCUAAUAUUCCUAUUUCGGAAAGGCCUUUGAAUAUAUUUAAACGACAACUGAGAUUGAUAAAAAGCAAAAGUAAUUCGAUAUUUUCUACAAGUUAUCAACCGUGGGACCGUCAACUGUAUUUUUGAAGUGAAAACUUCUUAUGGCGCGUUAGGCACUUUUGUGGCUAAGAAUUAAAAAUUAUCGGAAAGCCGGAAAAGUUGGAAAACCUGAAAAAUUGAAAAUAUUCUCAUUUUAUUAGAGAAUUUCACAAGGGACGUGAUUCGAUGGUCGGAAAAUCGUUAAAAAUUAUGGGAAAGCCGGAAAAAUUUGUCUUGAAAAUGGAUGCGUAUGAUUCAAAUAACGGUCGAAAAAGAAAAAACUCGAUAGAUGACUCCACUUAUGAGGAUGAAGUAGAAAAAAGAAAAGAAUAUGAUAAUCGCCACAGAGAGAAA